rnacentral:rRNA from 1 species
UGACGACCGGCGCACGGGUGAGUAACACGUACCCAACCUACCAUCUCUUCGGGGAUAGCCUUUCGGAAGAAAGAUUAAUACCCGAUAGUAUAGCGAGAGGGCAUCCUUUUGCUAUUAAAGAAUUUCGGUGUUUGAUGGGGAUGCGUUCCAUUAGAUUGUUGGUGAGGUAACGGCUCACCAAGUCUUCGAUGGAUAGGGGUUCUGAGAGGAAGGUCCCCCACAUUGGAACUGAGACACGGUCCAAACUCCUACGGGAGGCAGCAGUGAGGAAUAUUGGUCAAUGGACGAGAGUCUGAACCAGCCAAGUAGCGUGAAGGAUGAAGGCCCUAUGGGUCGUAAACUUCUUUUAUAGGGGAAUAAAGUGCGGAACGUGUUCCGUUUUGUAUGUACCCUACGAAUAAGGAUCGGCUAACUCCGUGCCAGCAGCCGCGGUAAUACGGAGGAUCCGAGCGUUAUCCGGAUUUAUUGGGUUUAAAGGGAGCGUAGGUGGACGUAUAAGUCAGUUGUGAAAGUUUGCGGCUCAACCGUAAAAUUGCAGUUGAUACUGUAUGUCUUGAGUGUACAAGAGGUGGGCGGAAUUCGUGGUGUAGCGGUGAAAUGCUUAGAUAUCACGAAGAACUCCGAUUG